AGCUGCUGCCUCAUGGAGGUGAAUUUCCCACGACCUUCUCUUGGGCACCACAAACACAACAACGCGGACGCCGACGUCCACUUCAGCAGAGCAACUACGUCCAUGGUUAGCGUCCUGCGCAUCGCACACGAACACAAGCUCAGAGAGAGCGCGCGCUUUCUCUUUUUUUUUUAAUCUCCGCUCUCCUUGCUCUUGAGGUGAGCCACUCAUCAACCCUCUGCCUGACCCCCAUCUCCGAACGCAGAAGUGGUGUUCCCUUGGCACGGUCACUGGCACCGCUACCGCAGCCCCCUACUUCCAUCUAGAUGGGUGAGGCUGACUGCCGCCCGCUGCUUUCGAGCAGCCGCGAGAACCCGCCACCAUCGCUGCUGCAGUCGUUGUCCUCAUCUCCGCAGCAGCCGUCGAGUAGGGUCGACACGACUUGGGUAAUUGCCCGGGACGCCGACAACGGCACGCCCGCAACGACGGUGGUAGACGGUACGGGCAGUGAACCUCGGUGCUCCUUCUUCAGCAGUCUCUCCUUCUCCGCGUGGGGCGGCGCUGCGGUGUCGCGCAGCAAUGCGAAUCGAUCGCCAAUGACGGCGGCGUUGCUCCGCCCCUUCCAGAAUCUGCGGAUGUGGUGCCGCAACAGAUGCGGAAUUUGCUGCGGAUGCCUUGGUAUCCGCGGUUCUUGGCUCAGCGGCUUCGGGCUCAGUGCGGACGACCUCGAUGACGGUGUCUCCAUCGCGAACGUUCCCGGCGACGUGCUCGGCGACUCGGGUGUCUCACGCGGGUCUGGAUACCAGAAAGAUGUACGGAAUGCAACCCCAACCACAACUUUGAACGCCCGCAUUGGCCAAGGCCAUCUGCAUCGGCACUACGCACCGCCGCGUUCUCGGUCUAGCGAGGCGGGUUGGGGCGGCGGUGCGUCUGCCGCAUCCACCUCGCCGAGGGAGCACCCGGAUGUGGUAAGGGAGGGCUGCAACGUGCCACGCUCAGACUCUCUCGAUGAGAGCUCUGUGGCUGGCUCGAGCACGCCCCCGUCUUCCCUGUCCUUCAGUCGGCAGCCACGCCGCCGGGGUGAGUGUGAGGGAGGACACCUCGUCAUGCAGCGCGGUGUCCUGAUGCGCAUGGCAGCCGACGGCACGUGCACUCGCGUGUCAGAGACGCCGGCCUACGCAUCGGGAUGCCAUAGCCCUCCUCCAAGUACGCACCUGCCAGGUCGAACUAAUGACGGCCGUGUCUUGCAGUUAGGCCAACCGGAUCCGUUCACAGACGCGUACAGCCAUGCCGACUCCAGCCCGGCCGCAAGGGAGAUCGAGGACACGAGCAGCUCGCUCGCGGUGGCGAUGGCGCUGGCCGCGCUGGAGGCGAGUCGAAAGCCCCUCCAAACUCUCGAGCAGAUUUCCGCGGCCCUCACCAUGUGCGCACCAUACCUCCCUCUCCGUGUGGAGGUGGAGGCGGAUCUGAACAGCUCGACGCCCAUCCCUGCUGUCGGCACGGCGGCAAUGCCUGCCGAAACAGACUCGGCGUCUACAACGUCAACAGCCAUCCCUGCCCUGACUGCGGUCCCGCUCUACCUCCAUGUGCUGGGCCCUUUGCUACCGUGCCCGAACGCACAGGCAUUGCGGACAUUGGAGGAUAUCCUUUUGGAGGACUGCGAUGGCAGUCGGCUGCCCUUGUGUGCGCUGCACUGCGCGGACUUGGAUCUGCGGCGAUUGAGGAUGGGCGAAGACAGUGAUGACGCUCGCCCCGCCAUUGCCGCGGCCGCGCAGAGAGCGCAGAGCGACGCAUUUCUUGACCUGCUCCUGUCUCCCACGUCGGAUGCGCACUCGAGCUGCAUUGUGACCGCGUCACAGCUGCUAACUUUCCUGAGGCGCAUCGUUUCCACACGCGGUGCGCAGCUCACCACACUGCACUUCACUCGGUGCUACGUCGCGCCGCACGACGUGGGUCAGUCCAUCCCGCUGCCGCUAGCCACGUUGCAAAGGCUGCGGUUCGAGCACUGCUCGCUCACCCCAGCCCACAUUGCCGCGCUCGUGGCGCUCGCGCGGCAGCAGGAUGCGCUGGCGUCGGCGAAGUUUGCGGAGGCACGUGGCGUAGGCGGCUUGUCGUCUUCCCGCCGCCGCUCAUUCGGCAUCCUGGAGGAACUGCAGCUGAGUGGGUCUCUUACGCCUGAGUGCAUCUCCGAGCUGCUGGACUACGUGGAGGAACAGCAGCAGUGCAGCGAGGGCUGCGGCCGGGAGGUCGCCUUGCGGCUUCUGUGCGUGCCGUCGUCGGUGGUGCGCGCGGCGAGCGCGCACCCGUUCGUGCAGGCCAACGGCAGUCGAAUUAGCGUGGUGAGUGCGCAAGUGUAGCUGAAAGGGGGGCAGCUCGAUAAGGUGUCUUCCGCCGGUCGACGAGCGUACCGCGCAGAGCUGCAAGAGCACAGAGACGGCACGAAACACUUGAGUGUGUGCGUCGGUGCUCCCAGCAGCUCUUGGCCUGUGCCAGAGCUGCUGCCCUUUGUCGGGAGUUUAUCACCUCCCGGCAUCCAGUCUUCAGCGCCACUGCACCACGCCGAUGCCUCUAGUCUGUCUUCAGCCGAUUAUCUGCCCAUCGCUUACACCCACACGCUUUUCUCCUUUAUAUAUAUUAUUAUUUUUUUUUUUGAAUGUGGCGUGUACUCUCCCCUUCCCACCGGCACCCCGGCAAUUUGGCUCGGAGGCUCUUCUUGUCUGGCGGCCAAGGUCUUGAGGGGGUGGUGACUGCCGUCGUCAGCAUCUUGACAGGGAGAACUGAACUCGACGCUGUAAAGUGCCGCCCCUCUGAGCGGCAUACUGCUUCGUAAAGGUUCAUCACCUGCCGAUGACUGACAUCCACCCACGCCCUCAUUCAUGCCUGUGCUUUUUCACGUUUUUUUUUUCGUUUUUUUUUUGUUCGUUGCUUCGUUCUGCUGCCUCCCUCUCAGCUUCCUCUGUGCCUCCUGCUGCUCGGCGCUGGUGCGCUGUUGGCUGGGGUUUCUUUCCGGGCGUUGCUUUGGGGCAUCUCGCCUCUCCCUCCCUCCCUUCCUUCUGCCCUCGCUGGCGCUGGGGCGCACGCUUCUUUGCAAGCUGUGGCGCUUGACUCUGCCUGCAUCCGUGUGUGUAUGUGUGUGCCACUUCACUGAGCGAGGCGUCGCCACGCCGAGAGUGUCGUACGGGCUGAGACGACGGGGAGAACGCCGCGCUGCUUUGCUUGUGUUUUCUUUUCAUUUGUCUUUUUCGCAGUGGCUUUGACGCCGCGACGCGCGUGCGUGGUAGCGGCGUUCUCCUUCCCUUCAAACCUGCCCUAGGCCGACUCAUGUGAUGCUACCUGAGAAGGUCAUCAAGAGGAGACACAGCUUCGCAUGUGAAAAGAGCGCACACUUUCAUGCGCUGAUUGCGGCGGAUGAUCAAGGCUGCCCUCUUCAUCGCGAGACAAGGCGUUUGAGGGGAGUCUCUGAUGUCGCGUCGAGCGUCUUUUCCGCAGGUGCCCCAGUGUCGGCACGCUUCAAGGAAGUCUGCGAUCUGCCGCGUACAUCGCUGCGGCAGGAGAACGCGACGGCGGCACUGUUGUGGGCUCGGAAGGGUUGACCUGCGGUGUAGGGCGGCCCUUGGCGUCCCGGAACAGGAACUCGUGACUCUCCCUAGACACAAGCAAGUCGCACUGGUCAGUGCCAGCACCCCCCUUGCGCCGAGGCGAAUUCGGCGUGAAGGCCUCGUCGGUGAAGGACCUCGGCGUGGAGCCGGCUGAGGUGCUGUGCGAGAUCCAGCGCCUGCAGGGCUCACGCGAUGUGCCGGCUCUGCCCCCGCUUUCCGAACGGCUCCCUUGACCUCUAGAGCACUGCCUCACUGGAUGGCGAUGCUGUGGAGGUGAUGCGAGCGAGUCCGCCCGAGGCGCGGGACUUCCUGCAUCGGGCGCAGAGGCACUUUGACCGUCUCCGGGCGUCGAGGAUAGGGAAAAAGCGCCGCCUGCCGGUGGCCGACGCCGCGCCGGCGUUCGCAGUCGAGAAGGGUCGGGCCGCGCCUCCCUAAUACUGACGACAUGAUGGAGAAGGGCUCUCCCGGGUGGAGAGGGUGCGCAGCGUAAAGUUUUUUUUUGGUCGCUCGAGAGAUGAAAGGACGCCGCUGCCCGACCACGGAUCCACACCUUAAUGCGUUCUGGCAAAGAGCAAGAGAUACCGUGGGUGGCAUGUCCGUCUUGCUUGGCGCGGCGGCAAGAGCCACGCAACAGGAAGUGGGCGCUUCGGGCCGAUUUUGGAGGCUUCUCACACUGCACUCCCGAUUUCGGGUACGGCUCGCAGCAAGCUCGUGCUCAUGUCCACAAGCGGCGAAUGCUUCAGGUGGCGCACCCCACCGGCCGGUGCGUUCUGGUGCGCUACCGUAGGCCAGUGUCUGACCGGGUCAAUUGUGGGCAGCGCCACUCUCUUCGACGGUGACGCCCAUGAGUGCCAAUAUAUUGUUCUGCGCAGAAGAGGUUCAGGAGGGUGGGCUUGUGUCAGCGGUGCGUCGCAUCGUUGAUCGGAUGCGCGCGGCGAACCCCCUCUCACGUCCCCAGGGCGCGAGCUGAUCGCGCACAUGGAGGACGAGUCGUCGUUGGCUUUGGCUGCCGUGCCGCAUACAUUUUUUCGGCAGUGCAGUGCAUCUUGAAGGGAAGGGAUAGAUCGGUGCACAGGCCACGGCCAAGAAUGUUGCAAAUACUGCACCGUGGUCCAGCGAAAGCCAAGAGCACGCCAUCGGCUUGUUCGCGUCGAUCCUGUCUCCCUUUACGCUCUUCAUGCUGCACACCACCCUCCUCAAUUCUGCGCGGGCACGCAG
rnacentral:misc_RNA from 1 species